CUCGUAGGCGGUCUGUCGCGUCUGCUGUGAAAACCCGAGGCUCAACCUCGGGCCUGCAGUGGGUACGGGCAGACUAGAGUGCGGUAGGGGAGACUGGAAUUCCUGGUGUAGCGGUGGAAUGCGCAGAUAUCAGGAGGAACACCGAUGGCGAAGGCAGGUCUCUGGGCCGCAACUGACGCUGAGGAGCGAAAGCGUGGGGAGCGAACA
rnacentral:rRNA from 1 species